GGGGGUUACAGUUAUAUGCUGAGUUUAUGGUUAAUAAAGAAUUCAACUCUCAUUAUCUUGUUCAGGGUGCCAUAAUGCUUCAGUUUAACGCACUAGUUUCUUGUGUUUUGUAAAUUUUUGGAUGAUUUUGUCAUGGUUUUUGCGCAGCCUGUUUUUUUACCCACUAGCUAACUUUUGCCGUAAUAGUAAAGCAUUAAUGAGAGAGAAAUUUGAAAUCAGGGAAUGAGAGGUUCUUGGAUGAUGAAAAUGGUGCCUACAAUCUCUAAGGUGGUGGGGAAGAGCAGAGAACCCAUUGUCCUAUGUACCCAAUACAAUGUGACCCACAUCUAGCAUUCUAUAGCCAAGGGCUUGCUCCGAGUCUCUGACCUUAGAUAAAUCGAUGGCAAAUGGUGUGUGCUCAACUGAAGCAAGCAAUUCACUCUUUUUAUGCAUUUUGUCUAAUGAUUAGUCACCAAAUCACGUGAAAUGUAGAAAUAAAAGGGCUCCAUUAGUCCACUUCAGUAAUCGUCUCCCUAUCUUUA
rnacentral:misc_RNA from 1 species